UACGAAGGGGGGCUAGCGUUGUUCGGAAUUACUGGGCGUAAAGCGCACGUAGGCGGAUACUUAAGUCAGGGGUGAAAUCCCGGGGCUCAACCCCCGGAACUGCCUUUGAUACUGGGUAUCUCGAGUCCGGAAGAGGUGAGUGGAAUUCCGAGUGUAGAGGUGAAAUUCGUAGAUAUUCGGAGGAACACCAGUGGCGAAGGCAGCUCUCUGGCCCAAAACUGACGCUGAGGUGCGAAAGCGUGGGGAGCGAACGGG
rnacentral:rRNA from 1 species